AGCCUCAUUGUACAUAAGAAUGGGCAUUGUUGGUCAUUGUCCAGAACUGGUCAAUGUGGCUAAAUUGAGAUACAGGUCAUGCUUCCAUCACAGCAGAUAAAUUACAGUGGUGACAAUGAGACCUGUAACAUUU
ensembl:snoRNA Gm22620 small nucleolar RNA SNORA1